GUGAGCAGCCUGAUGAAGGCCACGGUCCUGAUGCGGCAGCCCGGACGGGUGCAGGAAAUCGUGAGCGCCCUUCGCAGGGGCGGAGGAGACCGCCUGCAGGUGAUUUCUGAUUUUGACAUGACCUUGAGCAGAUUUGCUUACAAUGGACAGCGAUGCCCCUCUUCCCACAAUAUUCUGGAUAACAGCAAAAUUAUCAGUGAGGAUUGUCGCAAAGAGCUCACCGAGCUCUUUCACCACUAUUAUCCCAUUGAGAUCGACCCACACCGGACCAUCAAAGAGAAGCUGCCUCACAUGGUGCAGUGGGAGGGCUAUAAGAUGUUCUUCGACACACUCUACCAUAACAACAUUCCUCUUUUCAUCUUCUCUGCGGGCAUUGGUGAUAUCCUGGAAGAAAUUAUCCGACAGAUGAAGGUGUUCCACCCCAACAUCCACAUUGUGUCCAACUACAUGGAUUUCAGUGAGGAUGGUUUCCUGAAAGGAUUCAAGGGCCAGCUCAUCCACACCUACAACAAGAACAGCUCCGUGUGUGAGAACUCCAGUUACUUCCAGCAACUGCGGAACAAAACCAACAUCAUCCUGCUUGGAGACUCCAUAGGGGACCUCACUAUGGCGGAUGGGGUCCCUGGAGUACAGAACAUUCUGAAGAUCGGCUUCCUGAAUGACAAGGUGGAGGAGCGGCGAGAACGUUACAUGGACUCCUAUGACAUUGUGUUGGAGAAGGACGAGACGCUGGACGUGGUCAAUGGGCUGCUGCAGCACAUCCUGCGCCAGGGGGACUGUGUGGAGCUACAGGGCUCCUAAGGCUCAGCCUCAGCCAGGAGGAGGAGUCCACGCCCACAAAGCCUCCCCUGUCAGCACCGAGAGAAGCCCAGGGCAGACAAACGCUGCUGGGCCCUUCUACACUCUCUGA
rnacentral:lncRNA from 1 species